rfam:Spinacia oleracea cultivar SynViroflay scaffold76216.con0003.1, whole genome shotgun sequence.
GUUUCGAUCUGUUGAGGACAGAUGUAGUGAAUAUGGGUAUCAAUACCUCCGGCUGUUACGAUAUAUCCUUUUCCACCGUGGACUUCAGUUGAAGCUCCAAUAAUCAUAUUGGGACUUACACCAUCCAUUGUAUCAGGGUUACCUGCUUUUCCGAUUCCUACGAUCUUUCCGUCUUUGAUUCCGAUAUCACCUUUUAUAAUUCCCCAAUGGUCAAUGAUGACAGCUCCUGUGAUGCAAAGGUCCAGAACACCUUCAUCUCUUUUAGCAGUAACAUUCUGUCCCAUUCCGUCACGGAC